rnacentral:rRNA from 1 species
UUAAGCGGAGGAAAAGAAACUAACAAGGAUUCCCCUAGUAACGGCGAGUGAAGAGGGAAAAGCUCAAAUUUGUAAUCUGGCACCUUCGGUGUCCGAGUUGUAAUCUCUAGAAGUGUUUUCUGCGCUGAACCACAUUCAAGUCCGUUGGAACACGGCGUCAUAGUGGUGAGAACCCAGUAUAUGAUGUGGAUGCUCAGUGCUUUGUGAUACACUUUCGACGAGUCGAGUUGUUUGGGAAUGCAGCUCAAAUUGGGUGGUAAAUUCCAUCUAAAGCUAAAUAUUGGCGAGAGACCGAUAGCGAACAAGUACCGUGAGGGAAAGAUGAAAAGCACUUUGGAAAGAGAGUUAAAAGUACGUGAAAUUGUUGAAAGGGAAACGUUUGAAACUAUACUUGCUUUGCAGUUCGCUGUAUUGCAGGCCAGCAUCAGUUUUUAGGGGCAGAAAAGGGUAUUGAGAAUGUGGCAACCUCGGUUGUGUUAUAGCUCUUUACUGGAUCUGUCCCCGGGGACUGAGGACCGCAGCUUUGCUUAGGAUGUUGGUUUGGUUUUAAACGACCCGUCUUGAAACACG